UGCAUCUUCAAAACAUUUUGCUAAUUUUUCUGGGUGUGGAAUGAGGUCUUUUGCUACAAGAAUUUGCAUGUCAGCCUUUCCUGCAUAACUCACCAUGUGCAUAGUAAUUGCCUGUAUCAACACAAGCAUCAGGCAUAUGUUAAUUCACUUCUUGUGAAGAGGUGUCAAUAUGGCAAGUUAGCUUUUCUAUUCUGCCCAUUUGCGAUGAAACACAACCCCAAUGAUCCACUUGUAACUGGGACACCUCCAAUUGUGAACUCAUCUUUUGGGCCAACCACAUUUGAUAUAGUGAAACUAGUGUUGCAAAUGAUCCUGUAGUUAAGAUAGCUUGCAAACUGAAGACCUAAACUGUUAGCCAGAAAACAUAAUGCAUCUACGAAAUAUCAAUUUAUCAAGUUAUUUAACUGAGUGAUACCUUUGCUCCAAAGCAUUUCAUAAUAAUAUAGCCGAUUUUG